rnacentral:rRNA from 1 species
UACAUCGGAACGUGCCCAGUAGUGGGGAUAGCUCGGCGAAAGCCGGAUUAAUACCGCAUACGACCUACGGGUGAAAGCGGGGGACCGCAAGGCCUCGCGCUAUUGGAGCGGCCGAUGUCAGAUUAGCUAGUUGGUGGGGUAAAAGCCUACCAAGGCGACGAUCUGUAGCUGGUCUGAGAGGACGACCAGCCACACUGGGACUGAGACACGGCCCAGACUCCUACGGGAGGCAGCAGUGAGGAAUAUUGGGCAAUGGAGGCAACUCUGACCCAGCCAUGCCGCGUGCAGGAAGACUGCCCU